rnacentral:rRNA from 1 species
UGGGGAAUAUUGCACAAUGGGGAAAGACCCUGAUGCAGCGACGCCGCGUGAGCGAAGAAGUAUUUCGGUAUGUAAAGCUCUAUCAGCAGGGAAGAAAAUGACGGUACCUGACUAAGAAGCCCCGGCUAACUACGUGCCAGCAGCCGCGGUAAUACGUAGGGGGCAAGCGUUAUCCGGAUUUACUGGGUGUAAAGGGAGCGUAGACGGAUCUGCAAGUCUGGAGUGAAAGCCCGGGGCUCAACCCCAGGGCAGCUGCUUUGGAAAUACUGUGGAUCUAGAGUGCCGGAGAGGUAAGCGGAAUUCCUAGUGUAGCGGUGAAAUGCGUAGAUAUUAGGAGGAACACCAGUGGCGAAGGCGGCUUACUGGACGGUAACUGACGUUGAGGCUCGAAAGCGUGGGGAGCAAACAGGAUUAGAUACC